rnacentral:rRNA from 1 species
AUUGAACGCUGGCGGCAUGCCUUACACAUGCAAGUCGAACGGCAGCACGGGUGCUUGCACCUGGUGGCGAGUGGCGAACGGGUGAGUAAUACAUCGGAACAUGUCCUGUAGUGGGGGAUAGCCCGGCGAAAGCCGGAUUAAUACCGCAUACGAUCCACGGAUGAAAGCGGGGGACCUUCGGGCCUCGCGCUAUAGGGUUGGCCGAUGGCUGAUUAGCUAGUUGGUGGGGUAAAGGCCUACCAAGGCGACGAUCAGUAGCUGGUCUGAGAGGACGACCAGCCACACUGGGACUGAGACACGGCCCAGACUCCUACGGGAGGCAGCAGUGGGGAAUUUUGGACAAUGGGCGAAAGCCUGAUCCAGCAAUGCCGCGUGUAUGAAGAAGGCCUUCGGGUUGUAAAGCACUUUUGUCCGGAAAGAAAUCCUUGGCUCUAAUACAGUCGGGGGAUGACGGUACCGGAAGAAUAAGCACCGGCUAACUACGUG